rnacentral:rRNA from 1 species
UACGUAGGGUGCAAGCGUUGUCCGGAAUUAUUGGGCGUAAAGAGCUCGUAGGCGGUCUGUUACGUCGGCUGUGAAAACCUGGGGCUCAACCCCGGGCCUGCAGCCGAUACGGGCAGACUAGAAUUCGGUAGGGGAGACUGGAAUUCCUGGUGUAGCGGUGGAAUGCGCAGAUAUCAGGAGGAACACCAGUGGCGAAGGCGGGUCUCUGGGCCGACAUUGACGCUGAGGAGCGAAAGCGUGGGGAGCGAACAGG